rnacentral:rRNA from 1 species
AGCUCCAAUAGCGUAUAUUAAAGUUGUUGCAGUUAAAAAGCUCGUAGUUGGAUUUCUGGCAGAAGGUUAGAGCGCACCUGUGUGAGGCUCGCGUCUUCUGCCAUCCUUCUGUUAACCUUUCAUGGCAUUGACUUGUCGGUUAGGGGCUCAGAUAUUUUACCUUGAGAAAAUUAGAGUGUUUCAGGCAGGCUUGUGCCCGGAUACAUUAGCAUGGAAUAAUGGAAUAGGACUUCGGCCUCUUCUGUUGGUCUGAGGGGUUGGA